CCUACGGGAGGCAGCAGUGAGGAAUAUUGGUCAAUGGGCGCGAGCCUGAACCAGCCAAGCCGCGUGCGGGAAGACGGCCCUACGGGUUGUAAACUUCUUUUGCCGGGGAGCAACGGGAGCCACGUGUGGCGCCACUGAGAGUACCCGGAGAAAAAGCAUCGGCUACCUCCGUGCCAGCAGCCGCGGUAAUACGGAGGAUGCGAGCGUUAUCCGGAUUUAUGGGGUUUAAGGGGUGCGUAGGCGGUGGGUAAAGUCAGUGUGAAAUUUGGGGGGUUCAACCCCUUCCCGCCAUUGAAACUGGCGCUCUUGAGUGGAAGUGAGGUAUGCGGAAUGCGUGGUGUAGCGGUGAAAUGCAUAGAGAUCACGCAGAACCCCGAUUGCGAAGGCAGCAUGCCGGCUUACUACUGACGCUGAAGCACGAAAGCGUGGGGAUCGAACAGGAUUAGAUACCCCGGUAGUC
rnacentral:rRNA from 1 species